GUUUUACGAGGUGUUUUUUGGAAAGAAAAACGAAAAAGAAACAUGAAAAAGAAACAUUGCCGUUUUUGUAAAAGUAAAAAUAAUUGAAAGAAAGAGAACACAAAAUUGUUUGCAAAAGCUGUCCUUUAUUGAUGAUGAAAAUAAUUGCGAAAUGUAACUAAAUGGAUGGCCCUGCAGAUGAGUCAUUACACCUUGGUCAAAGUGUAAGACUUUGUUAUGCAUGUGAUAAAAGGAAAAAAAUAAAAAUUACUCCUUCAGUAGAGUAAACCG
rnacentral:lncRNA from 1 species